GAUGAACGCUGGCGGCGUGCUUAACACAUGCAAGUCGAACGGAAAGGCUCCUGCUUGCAGGGGUACUCGAGUGGCGAACGGGUGAGUAACACGUGGGUUAUCUGCCCUGCACUUCGGGAUAAGCCUGGGAAACUGGGUCUAAUACCGGAUAGGACCACAUUUUGGAUGGUGUGGUGGAAAGUUUUUCGGUGUGGGAUGAGCUCGCGGCCUAUCAGCUUGUUGGUGGGGUAAUGGCCUACCAAGGCGUCGACGGGUAGCCGGCCUGAGAGGGUGUACGGCCACAUUGGGACUGAGAUACGGCCCAGACUCCUACGGGAGGCAGCAGUGGGGAAUAUUGCACAAUGGGCGCAAGCCUGAUGCAGCGACGCGGCGUGGGGGAUGAAGGCCUUCGGGUUGUAAACUCCUUUCGCUAGGGACGAAGCGUUUUUGUGACGGUACCUGGAGAAGAAGCACCGGCUAACUAAGU
rnacentral:rRNA from 1 species